rnacentral:rRNA from 1 species
AGAUUGAACGCUGGCGGCAGGCCUGACACAUGCAAGUCGAGCGGUAGAGAGGUGCUUGCACCUCUUGAGAGCGGCGGACGGGAGAGUAAUGCCUAGGAAUCUGCCUAGUGGUGGGGGAUAACGUUCGGAAACGGACGCUAAUACCGCAUACGUCCUACGGGAGAAAGCGGGGGACCUUCGGGCCUCGCGCCAUUAGAUGAGCCUAGGUCGGAUUAGCUAGUUGGUGAGGUAAUGGCUCACCAAGGCGACGAUCCGUAACUGGUCUGAGAGGAUGAUCAGUCACACUGGAACUGAGACACGGUCCAAGACCUCCGUACGGGAGCAGCAGGUGGGGAAUAGUUGGACAAAGUGGGGACGUAAAGCCGUGACUCCAAGCCAGUCGCCGCGUGUGUAGAAGUAAGGUCGUUCGGAUUUAGAAAGUC